CUAAGUUUGAUGGCGACCGGCGCACGGGUGAGUAACACGUAUCCAACCUGCCGAUGACUCGGGGAUAGCCUUUCGAAAGAAAGAUUAAUACCCGAUGGCAUAGUUCUUCCGCAUGGUAGAACUAUUAAAGAAUUUCGGUCAUCGAUGGGGGUGCGUUCCAUUAGCUUGUUGGCGGGGUAACGGCCCACCAAGGCAUCGAUGGAUAGGGGUUCUGAGAGGAAGGUCCCCCACAUUGGAACUGAGACACGGUCCAAACUCCUACGGAAGGCAGCAG
rnacentral:rRNA from 1 species